GUUUUGUGAGUUUUAAAGUACUUUAAUGCAGCUGGGGAAGUUAUAGAUGCUGGUAGUUGGAGGAAACUGCUUGCAGAGACAAGGUUGCUAAGGACUAGAAAAACCUGAGCAUUCUGCUUGAAACCUGGAGCAAUAGGAAUGUAAGGAAGGGGAAUUCAAGGAACAUUAUCUGGUCAUUAAUUCAAAAGUUUGGGUAGCCACUGUGCUAGCAGGAGGUUUUGGGAAAGUAGCACAUGGGGCUUGAAUUCCCACAGGGCGAGAUAGUAUAAAUGCCAUCCUACAUGAUUACAGACUGGGGCAAAGGUUGGGGAACAGUGCAUUGUAACUGAGCCAAGACCUAGAGGUGAUAAGGCUGAGUCACUUAAGUCGGUAUUGGAGGCAAAACAGGAAGUAGCAGGUUUGAAGGCACCAUAUUGAGGAAUGGAUUUACUUAAGCCUGGGAGGCUGAAGGUGAUUGGAAGUGAUCAUUCAGGACCUGAUGUGUCAGUGAAGAUUCUGGAUUUUGCAAAAAUUAAACUGAAAAUGGCUUAAGCAAGGGA
rnacentral:lncRNA from 1 species